rnacentral:rRNA from 1 species
AUUGAACGCUGGCGGCAGGCCUAACACAUGCAAGUCGAACGCGUGGCGGACGGGUGAGUAAUGUCUGGGAAACUGCCCGAUGGAGGGGGAUAACUACUGGAAACGGUAGCUAAUACCGCAUACCAUCGGAUGUGCCCAGAUGGGAUUAGCUUGUAGGUGAGUUAACGGCUCACCUAGGCGACGAUCCCUAGCUGGUCUGAGAGGAUGACCAGCCAAACUGGAACUGAGACACUGUCAAGACUCCUCAGGGAGGGAGCAGUGGGGAAUAGUGAACAAGGGGCGCAAGCCGGACGCAGCCAGGCCGCGUGUAUGAAGAAGGCCGUCGGGUGGUAAAUUACUUGCAGCGGGGAGGCGUGACCCGCAGAAGAAGCACCGACUAACUCCGUGCCAGCAGCCGCGGUAAUUC